rnacentral:rRNA from 1 species
CAAGAGCGUAUAUUAAAGUUGCUGCGGUUAAAAAGCUCGUAGUUGGAUUUCAGUCUAGGAGGGUUAACUCGCCGAAAGGUUGUACGUUGAUUUUCCUCAGACUUCGUCAGAAGCUCGUGCUGCACUUAACUGUGUGGUACGAUGUUCUGACCUUUUACCUUGAGGAAAGUAGAGUGUUUCAGGCAGGCUACCCAGCUUGAAUACAUUAGCAUGGAAUAAUGAAAUGGAUCUCGGUUCGAUUUCGUUGGUUCUAGAGCUGAGGUGAUGAUCAAUAGGAACAGGCGAAGGUAUUCGUACUUGAGAGUGAGGAGUGAAAUCCGAUGAUCUCUUAAAGACGAUCCGAGGCGAAAGCAUUUGUCAAGGAUGUUUUCAUUGA